rnacentral:sRNA from 1 species
ACCAGGUACAGUGGUGCACACCUGUAAUCCCAGCUACUGAGGAGGCCGAGGCAGGAGGAUUGCAAAUUUGAGGCCAGACUGGGCAAUUUAGCAAGACCCUGUCUCAA